rnacentral:rRNA from 1 species
UACGAAGGGGGCUAGCGUUGCUCGGAAUUACUGGGCGUAAAGCGCACGUAGCGGGUCGGUAAGUCGGGGGUGAAAUCCUGGAGCUCAACUCCAGAACUGCCCUCGAAACUGCUGAUCUUGAGUUCGGGAGAGGUGAGUGGAACUGCGAGUGUAGAGGUGAAAUUCGUAGAUAUUCGCAAGAACACCAGUCGGCGGAAGGCGGAGCU